rnacentral:rRNA from 1 species
UACGAAGGACCCGAGCGUUAUCCGGAUUUAUUGGGUUUAAAGGGUGCGUAGGCGGCUUAGUAAGUCAGUGGUGAAAGCCCAUCGCUUAACGGUGGAACUGCCAUUGAUACUGCUAGUCUUGAGUAUGGUUGAGGUGGGCGGAAUGUGUCAUGUAGCGGUGAAAUGCUUAGAUAUGACCCAGAACACCAAUUGCGAAGGCAGCUCGCUAAGCCAUAACUGACGCUGAUGCACGAAAGCGUGGGGAGCAAACAGG